rnacentral:rRNA from 1 species
GUGAGGUAAUGGCUCACCAAGGCGACGACGGGUAGCCGGCCUGAGAGGGUGACCGGCCACACUGGGACUGAGACACGGCCCAGACUCCUACGGGAGGCAGCAGUGGGGAAUAUUGCACAAUGGGCGAAAGCCUGAUGCAGCGACGCCGCGUGAGGGAUGACGGCCUUCGGGUUGUAAACCUCUUUCAGUAGGGAAGAAGCGAAAGUGACGGUACCUGCAGAAGAAGCACCGGCUAACUACGUGCCAGCAGCCGCGGUAAUACGUAGGGUGCGAGCGUUAUCCGGAAUUAUUGGGCGUAAAGAGCUCGUAGGCGGUUUGUCGCGUCUGUCGUGAAAGUCCGGGGCUUAACCCCGGAUCUGCGGUGGGUACGGGCAGACUAGAGUGCAGUAGGGGAGACUGGAAUUCCUGGUGUAGCGGUGGAAUGCGCAGAUAUCAGGAGGAACACCGAUGGCGAAGGCAGGUCUCUGGGCUGUAACUGACGCUGAGGAGCGAAAGCAUGGGGAGCGAACAGGAUUAGAUACCCUGGUAGUCCAUGCCGUAAACGUUGGGCACUAGGUGUGGGGACCAUUCCACGGUUUCCGCGCCGCAGCUAACGCAUUAAGUG